GACAACAACAAAAUAAAAGUUCUCCCUUUUUCUCAAAGUGGUGCAACUAGUGCAGUUAACAGAUUCUAAUUGCUCUCAGGUAAUUGCUUCAAUUGAUACUGCACAAAUAAAUUGCACUCCGAAAUCAGAUAUUCACACAGUGCAAGCAACUACAAACCAUAACAAUAGCAGUUGAAUCACAACAAAAACAAUUGAAGGUAGAAGAAACUCCCUUCAAUACGAAACUAUUGCUACU
rnacentral:lncRNA from 1 species